UGGGGAAUCUUGGACAAUGGGCGCAAGCCUGAUCCAGCCAUGCCGCGUGGAUGAUGAAGGCCUUAGGGUUGUAAAAUCCUUUCGUGGGGGACGAUAAUGACGGUACCCCAAGAAGAAGCUCCGGCUAACUUCGUGCCAGCAGCCGCGGUAAUACGAAGGGGGCUAGCGUUGUUCGGAUUUACUGGGCGUAAAGCGCGUGUAGGCGGGUCGUUAAGUUGGGGGUGAAAUCCCGAGGCUCAACCUCGGAACUGCCUUCAAAACUGGCGACCUGGACUCAAGUAGAGGCAAGUGGAAUUGCGAGUGUAGAGGUGAAAUUCGUAGAUAUUCGCAGGAACACCAGUGGCGAAGGCGACUUGCUGGACUUGUAGUGACGCUGAGACGCGAAAGCGUGGGGAGCAAACAGGAUUAGAUACCCAUGUAGUCCCUGAGCGGGCUGGCAAGGCGCAU
rnacentral:rRNA from 1 species